UUGCCCACCUGGACUGCUGUGUCCUGGGUGACUAACACAGGGGGCAUAGCACCUCUCUCAUAAACCUGUGGUGAAGGUUCAAUUCCUCACCGCGGAUCCUGUCGGGAGAAACACAC
rnacentral:snoRNA from 1 species